rnacentral:lncRNA from 1 species
AAAUAGAAACAUGAACACAGCCGUGGGAGUGAAGGAAGAAUAAAGGAAGGACCCUCCUCACAGAAAGGCCACUGAAAGCAGGAAAGAGAGGGGCAAGCUGAAAUGGAAUUGUUAGAGCAUAAGGGAGCCAGCAUGCCUGCCUCAAGGUGAGAGGAGACUGGAGAACUAGGAGGGUACGCAGUUGGUGGGGACCUGCCUGGAAGACUACGAUCAAGAGCUUUCUACAGGUUAUGAGGAGCUGCUGAGGCAUCAAGAUUGUCCGGAGCCGGGCUGGUGAGAUGGCUCAGUGGGUAAGAGCACCCGACUGCUCUUCCGAAGGUCCGGAGUUCAAAUCCCAGCAACCACAUGGUGACUCACAACCAUCCAUAAUGAGAUCUGACAACCUCUUCUGGAGUGUCCGAAGACAGCUACAGUGUACUUUACAUAUAAUAAAUAAAUAAAUCUUAAAAAAAAAAAAAAAAAAGAUUGUCCGGAGCCUCCAGGAAAUAGUCUCUGUAAGCUGCUGGGUCAGCAUGGUUCCCUGAUGUAGGUGUCCGUUUACCCCUGCCUGCCAUGUUGGCAACGGACUUGGAACCAUAAACCUGGGGCAAAGUUUACAGACCCGUUCUUGCCAGCAGUAAACAGGGUCGCUUAUCGCUGACUGGGACUGCUGAGCAAAGGUAGACACUUACUCCAGAAACUUUAAAGACAAUGCAGGACAGGGGUUGAGGGUGUGGGAAGAAGGCAAGCGUACAGCGAGGCUGAUCAACUCGUAGUCCUUGCCCUUCUGUGAGAGUGGAAGUUCAAGACUAUUGGGGUAUCAUGUGGGGAGGGACAGCUGAGAGGGUAACCAGGGUAGACUGGGACAGACGGCUAUGCUGAGACCUGGCCUCCUGGAUCUAGUGUGUGGG